rnacentral:misc_RNA from 1 species
AAGUCGUAACAAGGUUUCCGUAGGUGAACCUGCGGAAGGAUCAUCCAAACGUUAACCCCCCGGGAACCUUCAAUGUGCUCGUACACUUUGUCAAAGCGAGGCAAUCCCUGGUAAAUCACCAGCGCUUAAUUGUGCGGCGACCAAAAACCGAACAACUGUUAACAAUGGAUAUCUUGGUUUUC